rnacentral:tRNA from 1 species
GCGCCUGUAGCUCAGUAGGAUAGAGCGACAGAUUCCUAAUCUGUAGGCCGCAGGUUCGACUCCUGCCAGGCGCACCA